GAGUUUCUUCUAGAGAAGACUUCUUUACAAUUAUACUGUCUUCCUUCAGAGGUGUAGUUUGCUCAAUGGUGCUCGCAGGAGUAUCUUUUAGAGGUGAAGAAGAUUCAUCUUUUAGAGGUGGGGAAGAUUCAUCUUUUAGAGGGGGAGGAGAUUCUGCCAAAAUAGCAGGUUCUUCAUGCAGUAGCACAGGAAUUUCUUGAGGGAUUAGAGUCUCCCUGACAGGGGAAGGUAUGUCAGUCACAACAGCUGAAAUUUGUUCCUGAGG
rnacentral:lncRNA from 1 species